UACGGAGGGGGCUAGCGUUGUUCGGAAUUACUGGGCGUAAAGCGCACGUAGGCGGCGUAUCAAGUAAGGGGUGAAAGGCCUGGGCUCAACCUAGGAACUGCCUUUUAGACUGAUAUGCUAGAGUUCGAGAGAGGCUAGCGGAAUUCCCAGUGUAGAGGUGAAAUUCGUAGAUAUUGGGAAGAACACCGGUGGCGAAGGCGGCUACCUGGCCCGGCACUGACGCUGAGGUGCGAAAGCGUGGGGAGCAAACAGG
rnacentral:misc_RNA from 1 species